rnacentral:rRNA from 1 species
UCAAUAAGCGGAGGAAAAGAAACCAACAGGGAUUGCCCUAGUAACGGCGAGUGAAGCGGCAACAGCUCAAAUUUGAAAUCUGGCGCAAGCCCGAGUUGUAAUUUGUAGAGGAUGCUUCUGGGCAGCGGCCGGUCUAAGUUCCUUGGAACAGGACGUCACAGAGGGUGAGAAUCCCGUAUGUGACCGGCGCGCACCCUCCACGUAGCUCCUUCGACGAGUCGAGUUGUUUGGGAAUGCAGCUCUAAAUGGGAGGUAAAUUUCUUCUAAAGCUAAAUACCGGCCAGAGACCGAUAGCGCACAAGUAGAGUGAUCGAAAGAUGAAAAGCACUUUGGAAAGAGAGUUAAAAAGCACGUGAAAUUGUUGAAAGGGAAGCGCUUGCAACCAGACUCCGCGGCGGUGUUCCGCCGGUCUUCUGACCGGUCCACUCGCCGCCGUGGGGCCAACAUCGUCUGGGGCCGCCGGACAAGACUGGAGGAAUGUAGCUCCCUCGGGAGUGUUAUAGCCUUCAGUGAUGCGGCGCGUCCCGGGCGAGGUCCGCGCUUCGGCAAGGAUGUUGGCGUAAUGGUUGCCAGCGGCCCGUCUUGAAACACGGACCAAGGAGUCUAACAUCUAUGCGAGUGUUCGGGUGUCAAACCCCUACGCGUAAUGAAAGUGAACGGAGGUGGGAGCUUCGGCGCACCAUCGACCGAUCCUGAUGUCCUCGGAUGGAUUUGAGUAAGAGCAUAGCUGUUGGGACCCGAAAGAUGGUGAACUAUGCCUGAAUAGGGUGAAGCCAGAGGAAACUCUGGUGGAGGCUCGCAGCGGGUUCUGACGUGCAAAUCGAUCGUCAAAAUUUGGGUAUAGGGGCGAAAGACUAAUCGAACCAUCUAGUAGCUGGGUUCCUGCCGAU